UAGGUGAUGUUCCUGCUGCUAAUGUGUAUGCAACUGAAAAGUCAGAGGGUAGAAGAGAAAAUUUUGCUGCUAAUGCAUAUACAAAGAGAGAGGGUUGAUGUUGCUAUUUUGUUCCCUAUUAGAAUUGGUCGCUCUAUGGGAUUCUUAUCGCAUUUUCUUGAUCUGGGGUGAUUUUGUGUCCUUUUAACUGAUGCAUGUCGUGUGUGGGUUCUGUGGGGGUUCCACCAUUAGCACAAAGAUCAAGGCAAUGUGAUAACUUUUAUGAGGCCAUAUUUUGUGUCUAAAUCUGCUGAGUUAUAUGAUGUGUAACAUGGCAGUGUUGCUGCAUGGAAGGAGGUAAUUUGCUUUCUCUUUCUAAAUUUGUUGGUUUCUUCAUGCUAUAUUGAUUAAUAUUGUAAUAUUUAAUAUUGUUUUGUCGGCUCCCUUGUUGUUGUGAUCUUCGUGUUGAAAAGGCAGUACAAACACUCGAUUAGAGGAUCCUGCUAGGCCUCUCUACCUCAUAGAAUUUGAUAUGGGUUGCCUUGUUCCUCUCAUUCUUAUUCUUCUCAGAAUUUAGGGUUGGGCGUUGAACAUACAUGCACAGGUUGGUUUCAGUUUUCUGUGUAAACUGAAGCAGGGGAUAAGUCAAUAUAUAUAUAUGUCGUGUUCCAGAUUAGAAAUUAAGAGAAGAGAGAGAGAGAGAGAGAGAAACGAUUGGUUAGUAAAAUAUGUAGUUGCAAGUUUACAUAGUGGAAUUGCUGACCAAAGUUUUUCUCUAAUGUACAUUUCGGAAAUUCCUAAUACUUAAAACUUGUUUUUCAGCCCGUUUUCUGUCAUCAGAAAAUACAAAUAGCAUUUUUUUCAAUCAGUUAACAGUAUGAACAGUCAGCUAACAAUACAAAUAUGGUAGCAUUUUUCAGCCUAUUACUUACUGAAUGCGAGUCAUUGGCAUUUUUUCAGUCGGUUAACAAACAGUUUUUCAGUUAGUUAACAAAUAGCAACACUUCAGAAGCUUUUUUAGAUAAGCUACAGAGAUAAGCAGCAGUUUUUCAAUCAGUUAACAAACAGCAGCACAACAGUUUUUCAGUCACCUGAUCUUUGUCCAAUUUUUUCUCGCUUGUUGCAGGUCACCAUUGUAUUCGACCUGGGAACCUACAUACAGAUUUUCAUCUAUGAUAUUUCAACAUCUUCUAUGCUUCCAAUUUGUUAAUUUAAUUUUACUUAUAAACGGCACAACCUUCCCUUCUCCUUUUUCGUGUGUAGAAUUGAUGAUUGAUGUAGUUUCAGUGAAUCAAAAUACUGAUGCCUUUUCCCUUCUCCUUGACAGCUUUGCGAGAGCUAGGAAAGUAUUGGUGGAAUCUCAUGAAGAAGAGAGACUGAUAAUGUUUGAGGUGAAUUCCUUCACCUGCCCUGCUUAUGGGAAAUUCUGCAAUGAUGCCCAGCGGCACACCACUCUCAAGUCUGAGAUGAAUUCCUUCACCAGAGGUUCUCCUUCGUGAGCUACGUCAGCGCUCAGAAGGCAUGCAUCGAAGCCCUUGACGGCUGAUUGUCCAAGUUCAUCCUAACAGACACCAUUUGUUACUCCCGGGGGAUCUCCUUGAUUGCGCCCGACAGGGCCGGCACGCCGCCCCUGGUGGUGAUCAUGAGUGGCACACCAUGCUGUCGAUGACUGGAUCGAUCCUCCUCACUAGUGACUCCGGCAUAGGACUUGGCGAUGGGGAGAGGUCGUUCAGCGCUGCGGAGAGCCGGUGCCAAGAACUAACUGUUGAUGUGGAAUCAUAUUUAUUAAAUAAUUAUCAGUUUGACUUAUUCGCUUGUAUUCAAACUGUACUGCAUUUUUGUUUGAGUCAUGUUUUUUCAUGUUCAUGAUAGUUCUUAUAUACUGUGCUUCUCAUAAUUUGGGUGGGACUUUUUAUAGAGGUAACCUUUGGUAUUAUUGAGUGGUUUUCAACUAAUUUGUGAAAGCAAUUGGUUUCGUUUUCCGUAAUCAGAUGUAGAAUUUGCAUAGUAGAAGGUAUCAAAGCGAUGCAUAUAUUCUGAAAUGUAUCUAUCUAGCUGGUCUUAGUUUCAGUUAGAUAAAUUUAUGUUCAUUGAUCCUGAGUAUAAUGGCUUCGUUUUUUUGUCCUGCUGUAAGCAAUUCUUUAUUGUGUGGAGUUUGUCAGUAUAAUUACUUGAUGAAUUUGGUUAUUUUUCAACAGAUAGCUGAAGAAGAUUAGGUGAUUUGGCAAUUCAAUUGCUGAAAACGUUGCAUGCAAUGUAGAGCCAUAUAAGUGUGCUUGCAGUGUCUACUAUUGAUUCUAUGCAUCGUUCAGUUCAAAAGAGUAUAGGACAGAUGCAAGCGCUUCUGACUGCUAAAGUUUCUAAGUUAGAAUAAGGAGCAAGGCACUCGGUUGUAGUUCAGAUCAUAGGCUUGCUAUGACUCUCUUUUGCGAUUCAAAAUUUUAGUCCAGGAAUCUUGGCUUCUUGUGUGGUCUCUGCAGUAAAGUCUCAUUCAUCAUCAUCAACAUAUGAUUUCAUUUUGUGUAUGCUUGAGUUUAGAAAUUUUUGUCUCACUGUCCAUCGUCGAUGUACCGUCCAUGAGAGCUGUUCAUAUAAGUCUAGUGAUAAUAUCUCUGAUUUAUUUUAAUAAUGUACAUUUCCACCAAUGCAUUUCUGUUGGUCUUGUAACUACUACUUUCCUCAGCUUGAACUCGUGCAUGUAGCCUCAAAGAUUGCCACUGAUCAGCUUUCAUAUCUAUAACAUGAUUAUCUAGCUACAUGUGCUCCAUCUCUCCUGUUUUGUUCUAUUACAAAUGUCACUUUCUUCACUAAUCAUGGUCAUUAGCAUAAAAAGGACAAUGGAAGGGACGCCACCUACCCGGCACCGCAAAGCUUCCGCUCAGGCGGCGCAUCAGGGGUGUACCUCCGUGUCCAUGUCGGUAGCCUGCACUGUGCGAGCGAGUCAGAUUUUUACCGUGGAGAAAAAAACACAACAAGUGCGGGCGACUUCCUCUUAGAGUUACUAUAAAACUUAUUGGCCAAUCAUAUUUAAUUAUUGAAUGUGUUUAAUCUGGUUGGGAAUAAUCCACUACCUAAGGAGAUCAAGAUUUCUGAAAUAUUAUUGUUUGU